GAGACCAUUGAGGAGUCCUGGUGACUCGGAGUCGCUGGUGAUUUACAGUCAAUAAUUCACUUUGCAACCAGAGAUACAUUUGAGAAGGGAUUCGUACCGGAUCUAGUUCUGCUUUGUUGUUCAGCGCUCCCCAGAAUGCAGCUCUGGUGUAAGUUAGGAAAUACGGCUGGUCUUGCUAAAAAUGUAGCCACGCGCUGCUUGAUUUCUUCGAUUGGAAACUAAAGCACAUAAUUUCUGCUAUUGCAUUUAAUGGGCGACUUUCCCACAUGCGUUAGCGUGAUCUCAAGCUUUUUAAAUCUAUUUAAAUACAAGUUCGUGUUUGUCCUAGUAAAAUUAACUACCGACCCACUCCCACUGCUGGCGUGGCAGGCGAAGCUGUAGCAAAAGAACAGGUGUCGUCAUUUCCGGUAACGGUCCGUCUCUUUGUUCGGCGCUUAGCGCGGGGCCGAAUGCCCGCCUACCGCCCGCCCGCGAGCCCCUUUCCCCGGGCAUUGUGGGAAGGCGACGGGCGGGGCCCGCGGGCAGGAGGCGCGCCUGCCCCGCCGGGAGCGGGGUCGGGCCCUGGGCGGCCGCGGGUCGGGGUUCGGCCCCUUUGGGCGGCCGCGGCUCCGGGCUGGCUGAGCUGUUCGGGCAGCUGCGUUCUAGCGCGCAGAGCGGUCGAGGUGGGGGUCUGAGGUAGGAGCUUCAGGGUGAGUCUAGGUUGAGCCGUGUCUGCAGUAGAAGGUACAUCUGUGGUCCACAGCUUGUUGUUGGAUCAGUGAUCGUAUAUGGGGUGUUCAGGAGUUGCAAGGUGGUUUAAUAUUCUGCAUUCUCGAUUUUUUUUUUUUUGGGCGCAUUGCUAUUUUUUGGCAUUUCUGAGUUUACUGUAGAAGGAACCUUGGUUUUUUCACUGGUUCUGCCGGAUAUCGUUGAAGUUGUUGACAUCAUCUUUUUCUAUGGGACUGAUGGUAAGAUCAUCGAGCAGGGGUUAGGGUGAGCAUCUUGUAUCUAUCUGGAGUUUCAGCAUUUCUCAAGAAAGCAGCAGGCAUAUUGGGCACAGUGUUUUUCAGGGCAUGGGACAGCUUGUUGCCUUUCCCGAUCACCCACAAGGUACCACGUUGUUCCUAGAGCCUUUGCAGCGUGCAGCAGGCCCCUUCCAGGCUAUAAGUGUCUGAAAUUCACUUACUAUGUGGGCCUGUAGCAGAGUGCAGAGCCUGUGGGAUGUCAGAGGACAGGAGGUGCCUGCAGGAGGCAGGGCAGGGCUUGGAAGAGGUGCUCAUGAGGAGCAGCUGACACAGGGAGUUCAGGGGUGCAAAUACAGGGCAAGGAGCUGUUGGGAAGGAGCGGGGUUUGUUCCCCAACAGUUAAGAAGAGAAGGGGUUUCGGAAGUUUCAGGACUGAGGGGUUGGUUGGGAAAGAGAGGUGGGUUCAUCAGUUGUCCUCAGACUGGUUUUGCAGUCGGAUUUAGCUGUCGAUGAGGUCUGUUCAGUCUGAGUCAUUCUGCAGCCAAUACAAGGUACGAUGAAGCUAUGAGAAAUGCACUGUCAACCAUCUGGGCCUCUAUGUCACCAUGCAUGGAGCUGACUGUCAGAUGGGUCUUAUCCCCACAGGAGGUCCUGAGGUACAAGCUCUGGCGAUGAUAGAGCUGAAGUGGAUGACAGGCUGUUUGGAAUUAAGUGGUAAUGGAGGGGAUAGGAUGGUUUAAGGGUAUUUUAAUAGGGACAUGUCAUGGCCUAGGUGUGAGUGUAGAAAACUCCAAACUAUGGCUCAGAAACAUCAAGGGCCAGAGAGGUAGGAGGAUCAGCUGUACAAAGCAGGCCACAGAGGGAAUAGUACCCGUUGCUCAUUUGGUAUGUGAGAUGUAAAUUAAAAUAUACUGUCCAGAACUCUGAGGUCUCUGCUCCCUUGUGCCUUUUAGUCACCACAUUCCCUGACUUAAUUUCAUGUUCAUCCCUUCACCGUCCAUCCAGAUGUCAUGGUCACUGCUACUUAGAGGCAUCGACGAGGCGCUUAUGUCCAUUGCAGAUUUCUGGCACAGUCUUCCCUGGAAUUUCUCAGAGAAGAAUAUGUACAUUAUCCCAGCUCAUAAUGGUCUCUGUCCAGGGGCCUUUUCUUUAUCGCAGUCCCUGGGCACACAAGCCUUCUCCAUUAUCCCAGUUUUACUUUUUUCCCUUAACUGUCCAAUGAGGUUUGCUUUAGUAUCAGUCAUGGCAGUUAUGUUCUCUUGUCCUUGUUUAUUGUGUUUUCAGCACCAGUUUCUGUAGCUGUAGGGUGUCUGUUUUAGAUCUUGAGUUGCCACGUCACGCCAUUGUGGUUUUUCCCAUUGGCUGACCACCUCUGUAAUAGCAUAAGGGGCUUCGUAGGUAAUUGGGUUUGGGUGUGUGGCAGGUACACCCACCCCGACAGGAAACAAAACUUCUCUGGGCAGGAAGGAGAGGGAAAAAAAAAGCAUCUCCGUAACAGGUGUCUUGAGCCACUUUCAAGGCAGGCCUCGUCCUCAGGACUUCAUCUGUUGGGCAGUCUUGGUUGCCACGUUCAGAGCUCUUGCAACAGAAGGAAAGUCACCAAGUGCUGGAUCCCUAGCCUGGGAUGGCAGGGAACAGAGUUCUGCUCCUCCUGGGAUGGCUCAUGUCCAAGGCCAGCAUUGCUCCUUUCUAUGCCAGGGACACUGCAGGAGACCUGGCAGGCACAUCCCAGGAGUGCUCAUCCCUUCUUCCUUUCCUCCUCUCAGCUCAAGCCCUUGUCCUUGCUGAGAUAGCCCUGCUGACCCUGGACCCACCCUGGAGCAUGAUGCUUCCAGGAGAGAGCAUGAUCCUUAGGUGCUGGGGCUCCCACUCGCUGUGGCAGCACCCCACGGCUUGGUACAAUGGCAAGCUCUUGGCACCCACAGAUAUGUACACCUACAGGAUCAGAAUGAGUGUCAGAGCCCUGCCUCCAGGCACAGCAACUGUGUUACCCUGACUGUCUCCUAUGACUGGCUGAUCCUCUAGGUCCUGUCGUACAUGGUGUUCAAGGGGGAACGGCUGCCCAUCAUGCAGUGCUGGGGAUGGGAUGGCAGGGCACAUCUUCGGUGCGGUAUUACAGAGAUGGAGCUGGCAUCACUAUGCGAUAUGCCUCAGCAGAGCAGCAUUCCAUCUCCUGACCUGAGACCCACCACAGUGACAGGUAUCACUGCUCCUUUUCAUUGCUAAAAGGCAGUCUUGGGUUUUAUACGUUUCCACUGAAGGUAAAUUCCUGUGUCUUUGGGCUCUCUGUCUUCCCAGGGUCUCAUCUGGUGGGAGCUGCAGGACAGAGAGGGUGAGGGGUUCUGUACGAUGUCUGAGCUGGGUCUGUGCUACCAAUGCCAGUGCAGGAAACCUGGCACCUGCCCACCACCAGAAAAAGACGUGCCCGGUCACAACCCCCAGCCUGGCUCUAGGACACUCCCCACACCCAUCUUGGGGUCUUGGCCCUGCACAGCCUUGGUGGGGUGGGAAGAUUGUCCUUUCCUUCCUGCAUCUUUAGAGGUGAUGCAGCCCCAGAAGGUGCAUCUGACAAGAUGUGCCCCAUCUCCCCCCUUCCUCACACUGUGUCCAUCUCUCCCCAACCCCAUCCAUCUCUCCCCACUGCCCAUGCCUGUCUCGCUGUCCCAUCCCCCUCCACGUGUCCCUCUGUCCCCCUCUGCAUGUCUUGCCACCCCCCAAAUGCUUUCUACCGAAAUGUACCCCAUGUGAGUUUUUCCCCACAUGACAUUUUUUCCCGUGUGACACCCCCAUGCACAUCCCCUGCCCUCCUAUCUUGUCUUCCCACUCCCCUCUCCCUCCACCCCCCCUAUUCCACACUAGAGUGCACAGAAAUUUGGUAGGGGACGCAGCCAGGACAGCUGACCCCAACUGACCAAAGGGAUAUUCCAGAUCGUAUGAUGUCAUGCUCAGUAAUAAAAUUAGGGGGGAGGUUGGUGGGGGGGACACUGCUCGGGGUCUGGCUGGGCUUUGGUCUGUUAGUGUUGACCAAUUGUUUUCAUUUGCAUCGCUUGUCUUGGAUUUUACUUUUCUCUCUUUGUGUCCCCAUCCCCCUUAUAAUGUGUUGUUUUUUUUUUUAAUUAUUAAACUGUUUAUUUCAACCCACAAGUUUUCUCACUUUUGCCCUUCUGAUUCUCUCCCCCAUCCCACCGAGGCAGGGCGGGGAGUGAGUGAGCAGUUGUGUGGUGCUUAGUUGCCAGCUGGGAUGAAACCACAGCACAAGGUCUGUUGCAAGCCUUGCCUGGCUAAUGCUUAAGGCUCUCCAUGUUAUUCCUACCAUCUUGAUAGGCCAUUGUUGUGGUUUAACCCCAGCCAGCAACUAAGCACCACGCAGCCGCUCACUCCCCCCCCCCCCCCCCCCAGUGGGAUGGGGGAGAAAAUUGGGAAAAGAAGUAAAAGUUGUGGGUUGAGAUAAGAACAGUUUAAUAGAACAGAAAAGAAGAAACUAAUAAUGAUAAUGAUAACACUAAUAAAAUGACAACGGUAAUAAUAAAAGGAUUGGAAUGUACAAAUGGUGUGCAGUGCAAUUGCUCACCACCCGCCGAUUGACACCGAGUUAGUCCCCGAGGAGUGAUCCCCUGCCCCCACUCCCCCCAGUUUAUAUACUAGAUGUGAUGUCACAUGGUAUGGAAUACCCCGUUGGCCACUUUGGGU